UAGGGAAUCUUCGGCAAUGGACGAAAGUCUGACCGAGCAACGCCGCGUGAGUGAAGAAGGUUUUCGGAUCGUAAAACUCUGUUGUUAGAGAAGAACAAGGACGUUAGUAACUGAACGUCCCCUGACGGUAUCUAACCAGAAAGCCACGGCUAACUACGUGCCAGCAGCCGCGGUAAUACGUAGGUGGCAAGCGUUGUCCGGAUUUAGUGGGCGUAAAGCGAGCGCAGGCGGUUUCUUCAGUCUGAUGUGAAAGCCCCCGGCUAAACCGGGGAGGGUCAUUGGAAACUGGGAGACUUGAGUGCAGAAGAGGAGAGUGGAAUUCCAUGUGUAGCGGUGAAAUGCGUAGAUAUAUGGAGGAACACCAGUGGCGAAGGCGGCUCUCUGGUCUGUAACUGACGCUGAGGCUAGAAAGCGUGGGGAGCAAACAGG
rnacentral:rRNA from 1 species